CAUUAUUCAAGGUACUAAAUAUUUGGACAUGUUUUGCAGGAUGAUAACUACCGGCUAGGUAAUAUUGGAAUAAUAUUUAUUAGAUCUAUUAUUGAAACAAUACAUAAUAUCAAUGAAAAUACAAUCAAACUGCGAUUCUUCUACAUUGGAAUUCAAUGCACUCAAGCA